rnacentral:lncRNA from 1 species
GAGGCCGCGUGGCGCCUCUCCCUCCGUCGCGAGGCCGUGCGCCGCCCCAUCUGCGGCGGUCGGGAUCCGCGUGCCGCGCGUCGCCUCUCCCUCCGUCGUGAGGCUGUGCGCCGCCCCAUUGGCGGCGGUCGGGAUCCGCGUGCCGCGCUCUGGACCUGGGCAGGGUAGCGCCGCCCCCGCUAGCAGAAUCUACGGCGGCGUCCAUUGACCAUCGGAAGGGAAGGGGAAAACGUAAAGGAUUUGUUCCCUCCCACUGACACGCGGGGUCCACAUCAGCGCCGGUGAGAUCACUGAAGGAAUGAGUAUAAUUUGGAUAGCAUAGAAUGGAUGUGUUAAAUUUUGGAUUGCAUACAGGAAAUUUGCUGCUUGCUUUGCCUCCUGCCCUUCUAGGCCGUUUGGCAAUAACUGAUCUUUUCUCCGUUUCUUUUGAGACGCUUCGCCGAUCUCGUCUUAGCGAUGACAUGGGCACAUGGCGUGGCGAGAUUAGAAACGUGAAUAAGGCAUGUUUGAUACUUACGGCUAAACUUUAGCUUACUAAUUAAGAGUAUUAAAUAUAAGUUAAUUACAAAACUAAUUGCAUAGAUGGAGACUAAUUCGCGAGACGAAUCUAUUAAGCCUAAUUAGUCCAUGAUUUGAUAAUAUGGUGCUACAGUAA